UACGUAGGGCGCAAGCGUUGUCCGGAAUUAUUGGGCGUAAAGAGCUCGUAGGCGGUCUGUCGCGUCCGUUGUGAAAACUCGAGGCUCAACCUCGGGCUUGCAGUGGAUACGGGCAGACUAGAGUGCGGUAGGGGAGACUGGAAUUCCUGGUGUAGCGGUGGAAUGCGCAGAUAUCGGGAGGAACACCGGUGGCGAAGGCGGAUCUCUGGGCCUUACCUGACGCUGAGGUGCGAAAGCGUGGGGAGCGAACAGG
rnacentral:rRNA from 1 species